UACGGAGGAUGCGAGCGUUAUCCGGAAUGAUUGGGCGUAAAGCGUCCGCAGGUGGCUAUGUAAGUCUGCUGUUAAAGAGUGAGGCUCAACCUCAUAAGAGCAGUGGAAACUACAUGGCUAGAGUGCGUUCGGGGCAGAGGGAAUUCCUGGUGUAGCGGUGAAAUGCGUAGAUAUCAGGAAGAACACCGGUGGCGAAAGCGCUCUGCUAGGCCGCAACUGACACUGAGGGACGAAAGCUAGGGGAGCGAAUGGG
rnacentral:rRNA from 1 species